AACUAUAUAGUCAAUAAUGAUUUAAAAUUGCAAGUUUUAAGGUAUUUUAAAAAUUAUAGUUU
rnacentral:tRNA from 1 species